GAUGAACGCUGGCGGCGUGCCUAAUACAUGCAAGUCGAGCGAACAGACGAGGAACUUGCUCCUCUGACAUUAGCGGCGGACGGGUGAGUAACACGUGGAUAACCUACCUAUAAGACUGGGAUAACUUCGGGAAACCGGAGCUAAUACCGGAUAAUAUAUUGAACCGCAUGGUUCAAUAGUGAAAGACGGUUUUGCUGUCACUUAUAGAUGUAUCCGCUCCUCAUUAGCUAGUUGGUAAGGUAACGGCUUACCAAGGCAACGAUGCGUAGCCGCCCUGAGAGGGUGAUCGGCCACAUUGGAACUGGGACACGGCCCAGCCCCCUCCGGGAGGAAGAAGAAGGGAUCCUUGCGCAAGGGGCGAAAGCCUGACGGACAAACGCCGCGUGGGGGAUGAAGGUCUUCGGACCGUAAAACUCUGUUAUUAGGGAAGAAGAAAUGUGGAAGUAAAUAUGCACGUCGUGACGGUACCUAAUCAGAAAGCCACGGCUAACUACGUG
rnacentral:rRNA from 1 species